UUGAACUGAAGAGUUUGAUCCUGGCUCAGAUUGAACGCUGGCGGCAUGCCUUACACAUGCAAGUCGAACGGCAGCACGGGUGCUUGCACCUGGUGGCGAGUGGCGAACGGGUGAGUAAUACAUCGGAACAUGUCCUGUAGUGGGGGAUAGCCCGGCGAAAGCCGG
rnacentral:rRNA from 1 species